rnacentral:rRNA from 1 species
UACGAAGGGGGCUAGCGUUGCUCGGAAUCACUGGGCGUAAAGGGUGCGUAGGCGGGUCUUUCAGUCAGGGGUGAAAUCUUGGAGCUCAACUCCAGAACUGCCUUUGAUACUGAAGAUCUUGAGUUCGGGAGAGGUGAGUGGAACUGCGAGUGUAGAGGUGAAAUUCGUAGAUAUUCGCAAGAACACCAGUGGCGAAGGCGGCUCACUGGCCCGAUACUGACGCUGAGGCACGAAAGCGUGGGGAGCAAACAGG